UGGUUCUCGCAUCGAUGAAGAACGCAGCGAAACGCGAUAGGUAAUGUGAAUUGCAGAAUUCCGUGAAUCAUCGAAUCUUUGAACGCACAUUGCGCUCCCCGGCAUUCCGAGGAGCAUGUCUGUCUGAGCGUCAGUACAAACCCUCCGCGAAAACCCUUUCCUCUCCGGGAAGGGCGGCAGCGGGUCUUGAGCUUCGGGCGGGAUGGUUCGCGCCAUCCCGCCUGGCUCCAAAGUGGAAAGAGUCUGCGGUCCACCCUAGCGCCUCCCCAUGAACGACGUAGUAAAUCCAUCGUCCUCGACUGGAAAUGCGCAAGGUGAGACCCGCCUCGAUCGAAACAACUUCUAUGGUUUGACCUCAGAUCAGAUAAGGAUACCCGCUGA
rnacentral:misc_RNA from 1 species